CAGAGCCUCUGGAGGGAGCACGGCGCUGCCAACGCCUUGAUUUCAGACUUCUGGCCUCCAGAACCGUGAGAGGAUAAAUGUGUGUUGUUUUAAGCCCCCAGUUUAUGGUGCUUUGUUGCAGUGGCCCCAGGAUGCUAGCAUAGCUUCCUUAUCUGCGUAGCAGGUGUCAGUGGCACGUUCAUCCAAGGCCGUUGUGAGGUUGUAAUGAGUCAGUCCUGGGGAGCCCUUAGCCCACUGCCUGGCACAUGCUGAGCACUCAAAGUGUGGUGGUCGUUUAAAGUCAGACUUUGGAGUCAGACAAACCUGGUUGGCAUCCCCACAUGCUGGCUGUGGGACCCCUGGUAAUGUAUUUAGUCUCUCCAAGCCUCAUUGCCUCGCCGGCGAAAAGGAGAGACUACUGUCCGCCUUGCAUGGUGUUAGUGACCGUUUAAUAAAAGAAAGCUCCUUCCUUUCGCCUUCCCUCAUGCCUUGACUGUUGUUAGAGUGAAACCCAGGAGUAACUCGUUGGCCGCUGAUGUCGGCAGGCAAGGCCAUUCGAGAAGGGGAGGAAUCGUGUCUCCUCUUUCCUGGCUUGACGGUUGAUGAUGCUGGAGGUGGUGGGAUUGUUGUGAACACCAGGACAGGCGUGCAGAAUCACAACAGAGUCUUUGACAAACCUGCAACUGGGUGUUGCCACUCAAAGUAGUCACCCUUGAGAGACUACCCUAUGCCCGUGACACUCAGAAUGUUCUGGCAAGACUCUGAUGGUGGGCCAUAGAGGCGUUUAUGAACCACAUCUUUAAAACAGCACAAAAACGGACUCCCAGAACACACACUCCCCACUGGCCCGGCCAGGCUCUGCAGAUCUGCGACGAUGACAACUUCCAGAGCUCAGCUCGGCCUCUGGGGGCACAUCUUUGCUCAGGAGCAGCCAGGUAUGUUUUUAAUACCAGUGAUAUCAAUAUGGAUCUUAAAGCUACCAUAAAUAAAGCAGUUUGGGCUGAUGCGAAGGCAGACAUAAGUAGAUCGAUGGACCCAAAUGGCAAGUCCAGAAACAGCCAUGAGUCUGUGGAAUUUUAGAAUGUUAUAAACAAAGCAUUUUAGUAGAAGUGAGGACAACAGAUUAUCUAAUAAAUGGUAUUAGGACAGCUAGCUGAGCUGUUUGAAGAAAUAGCAUAAUUCCAGAAACAUUAGAGAUCUAAGCAUUGUUUGAAAUUAUUUUUAAUUGUUAUUGUAUCAGAUGAAAAUAUGGGAAAACUACAUCAUCUCCACUCCACAGGUAGAGGAGGUGCUCAGAACAUGGCAGGAGCUCAGGAGCCAUAAAGAAAAAGAUUGACUCCCUGGACUACGUGACAGUGUCAGACACAAAAGACACAUGGUUCACCAGGAGAGAUAACCAACAACAUACGGAACACCAAGAUCAUAGCCGUAAUAUAUAAAAAAACUUCUGCAAAUCAAUAAGAAAAAGACAAACUACCCAAAAGACAGAUGAGCAAAGAAUAUAGACAAGCCAUACAAGAAGGAAAAAAUGUAAAGGAGCAGCUAGAAGCCUCUAGAAAGAGUAGAGGAGGGUACAAGUGACAUUGGCCACAAUGAUUAUCUAAAGUAAUCAGUGGAGAGAUACCCCAUUAGCACCUCGCUAGUGAUCAUAAAAUUGCAAAUUAAAAUAUGAGAUAGCAUCUUACUGUAAUCUAGGUUAAAAACAUAAAAAAUUUAUAGUUCUUUGCCUACAGUGUAGUGGAAAGGGCACACAUACUCUGUUGGUAGGAAUGCCGACAUAUUGUUGGAAGGCAAUUAGGUAAUAUUAAAAUGUAAAAUUCUGUAUUUGACCAAACAAUUCCCCUUUUAGGAACCUACUCAAGAGAGAAACAUUUGUGUAUGUGCAAGGCUGUACUUACAGGCAUGUUCAUUGCGCCAUUGCUUAUAACAGCAACAAAUGGGGAACGACAUGAAUGUCCUAUCAACGUGGGGCCACUGAGUCAGUCAUGCAACGUGUACAAGGGCAAAUGCGACUCUCUGUUUCUGGUUGUGGAGGGAGGGUCAUGACUCACGGCUGAGUGAUAAAGGCAUGUGAUAAAACAUCAGGAAUGGUCAAUACUGUUUUAUAAAACAAAUUUUUUAAUCAAGUGUACAAUUGUGGAAGAAAAUCUGCCAUCAUAUUUGCAUGGCGAUAGCUCGCUGGAAAGAGCUGGAGAGAAUUGCUUUGGGGUGUGUGCAUUGUAUUGCUUUCCAGCGUUCAACUUCUGUAAAUCAUAUGCAUUUGUUAUAUAACUGGGGAAAAAAUCCAUGAUUCCAUCUUAAAGAUGUAUAUGUAUUUACACAUAUAUGUGUAUAUUAUGUCUAUUUUUUAAAAAAAAAGAGCAUCUGUGGAGCAAGGUGCUCCAGCGAGCGUCUCAACAUGAGGAAUCGUGAAUAACUGCAUUUCCUUCUCUGUGCUGACCUGUAUGUUCUAAAUUUGUGCAAUGGAAACGCAUCAUGUUUGUAAUGAUAAAAACCCAGUGUAUCUCCCGGAUGAAGAGGCCCUGACUGGUGCAGGAAGGGGACAGCACUGGCGAUGGCAAUCUCAUCUCACAGUUGGCGUCUCUCCCCUGACCGGCUGCUGGCCAGACUCCUGCCGUCCACUUGCAGGGCAUCUGAGUGAGGAUACCCCAGGGAGCUGUCACAGCACAGGUUUCCUGGCAGAGGAGGUAGACCGUGUAGAGGGCAGGCUGCGAGGAGGGGACAGGACCUCCCCCAGGGCUCCAGCUGCGUAGACAGCAGAUGCCUUCUGUUCUCGAGGUGGGACCUCCAUCGUCUGUCCUUGUUCCUCGGGGACCGUGAGGACAGAGGGCAGGUGGGCACCUCAGCCCGGCAGAGCAGGCCCGAGGCUGGCACAGAGAAGCCUGACUCCUCAUCUCAGCAUCCCUGUGUUUUACAUAAUUAGGGCCGCGGGCCUGGCUUCAUCAAGGAGACACGGCCGUCAGUAGACAGGCUGUCCUGAGCCCUGGGCUGGCCGGCAGCACCUCCCACACUGCUUUACCGGGUGAGGCGGCGUGGGGACAAGGAUGAGUGAACUGGCUGGGGCCCCCUGCCUCGCUACCCCAGGACCUCGGGGAACCAGGAAGCCCUGGGAAUGGGCCAAGAUGGCCUGAGGGCUGGGGCUCCAGGUCGUGAAGCACCCACAAGCUGGUCGUGGCUGGGGCCCAGGUGUGGCCAGCCCUGACAUGGCCUCUGGGACUGGCCGUGACUGGCUGGGCAGCAGCAAAUCUGUUUGAACCUGAGCUUUCUCUUCUCUGGCAUGGAGUAGCGUGUUGCCUUGCAGUUUCUCCAGAGGGUGGAGACAGAACCGGGAGACAUGUCGCACAGACCCGGCACACAGCAAAUCAUGCUGUUUUCCUCUUUAAAGAAUAAAUGCAAGACUUCCUGCUGGGUUGUAAGUUGCUCAAAAAAGAUAUCCACGCCCCAGAGCCAGGCAGCACUUGCCCCGAGCUCCAGGGACACAUCUGGCCACCGUGGGUGUGGACUUUCUGCUGGUGUCGUUGGCAGUAAGAUAGGCAGUUGGCUGUUCUCUUGGUGCCUUACUUCCUAAGGAUGUAUGGAGCUGUCAGCAAACCAUUAAUCUCUCUUUAAACCACGGUGACGAUAUUUACAUUUAAGAUCAAGAUGAUGAUUAUCUGAAGAACUCCCCUGGAAGCUCUCCUCCCAACUGGAAAAACACAGCAGCCUGUUAGCAGAGCCGGAUCCCGGGCCAAAAAUAACCAGAGGCUCCGGGAGAGCCACGCCUGCAGAGGUGGAGCCAGGCAGGUGAGGGGAGCACCGGCGAAGCAGCGGAAGGGAUGUCCGCCUCAAGGAGAAGGAAGCCCGAGUCACAUGGCAGGGGCUGAGCGUGCAGACCCGUCCAUGCAAACCCAACAGUCCAGACCCGACCGUGCAGACCCGACCAUGCAAACCCAACAGUCCAGACCCAACAGUGCAGACCCGACCGUGCAGACCUGACUGACUAGCUACAAGAAUACGUUUCUGAAAAGAAUUAUUUUUAAUUUAUAGAAAAAGAAUUUGUGCCCAAACAAUACAGAAAACCACCAGGGCUGAGCAGGGUGAAGAGCCCCUUUCCGAGCAUCCUGGGGACAUUUUGGCAAGUCAUUCAUUCCGAGAGUGACCUCCAGGCGGCCCCGCACCCAGUGGGGCUCCCUCUGGGUGUUUUCCAUUUCAGCAGUCUGCAGGCUGGACACUUACUUCGAUGCCUCGUGUGGUCCAGGCAGGCUGUCAGGGUCCCUGCUCUCCAAGGGCGGUCCCCAUACCUGUGCUGUGGAAACUUCUUUCUCACGGGCAUCUUCAAAAAAGUAUUUCAGGGGCCGGCCCGGUGGCACAGUGCUUAAGUUUGCACGUUCCGCUUCUCGGCGGCCCGGGGCUCACUGGUUCGGAUCCCGGGUACGGACA